GACCAGACUCCUACGGGAGGCAGCAGUGGGGAAUAUUGCACAAUGGGGGAAACCCUGAUGCAGCGACGCCGCGUGAGUGAAGAAGUAUUUCGGUAUGUAAAGCUCUAUCAGCAGGGAAGAAAAUGACGGUACCUGACUAAGAAGCCCCGGCUAACUACGUGCCAGCAGCCGCGGUAAUACGUAGGGGGCAAGCGUUAUCCGGAUUUACUGGGUGUAAAGGGAGCGUAGACGGCAUGGCAAGUCAGAUGUGAAAGCCCGGGGCUCAACCCCGGGACUGCAUUUGAAACUGUCAGGCUGGAGUGCAGGAGAGGUAAGUGGAAUUCCUAGUGUAGCGGUGAAAUGCGUAGAUAUUAGGAGGAACACCAGUGGCGAAGGCGGCUUACUGGACUGUAACUGACGUUGAGGCUCGAAAGCGUGGGGAGCAAACAGGAUUAGAUACCCGCGUAUCA
rnacentral:rRNA from 1 species